ensembl:lncRNA
UGGAUGAUACAUAUCCUUUAUUUCCAUGAUCAUUACUUCAGCCACACUGUUACUUACACAUUCACAGACAUCCUGCGACCUGGUACAGCUAUCUCGACUGAAACGAUCGCCCUGGCUUAACCUCUCAAUCAAAAUACUCAGCAUUAACCAAUAAAAAAGUAAACCUCUUGAAUAAAUUAUAUAUAAAAAGAACAAAUGAAAAUCAAAAGGAAUACCAAUCCGAGAAAGAUAAAUACAGCAUAAACAAUCCUUUUUCUUCAGUGUUGUUUUUGACCACAGAGAUAAACAUCUGCUAGAUCUCCUUUUAGUCGUCAUUAGUAGUAUUAGUAUCAAGUUCUUUGUCAGAUUUUGCUUAAAGCAUCACUUAUAUAAUUUUCAUUGCAUCAAGUUGACAUCAUUCAUGUUAAUAUAAGCAUGCAAACAUGUUUCCCCAUGACCAUUCGGAACUGCACAAACGAGAGAAGACAGCGAGGGGGAGAAUAGGGAGGAGGACGGAAAGGGUGGGGUGGGGUUGUCAUACACAGAGAGAAAGAAAGAGGGCAAGAUGGGGGGAGAAAGCUGAAGGAACUGGGGAGGAAAAAGUAGAGCAGGAAAAAUGGUUAGGUGAUGGAGAGUUGCAGGAGGAAAGGUAAGGAUUGCUGGAGGAGAAAAUGACUAAUCAGACAGACAGAAACAGAAAGGGAGGGGUUUAGAUGGGGUGCGGGUUGGGGGGGGGGGGGGGGGCAGAGGGAGGAGGAGAAUAAGGGAAUGUGCUGGCUCCAGUAUGAGUUUUGCAGUCUAUCACAAGGCAGUAACACUAGGGCUAAAUAGGGUAGACACAAGCAGAGAGAGAAGGAGAGAGGCUGGGAAAGGAGGAGAGUUUAUGGGGCCUCUAGACCGAUGGAUCAAUACCAUAUCUACUUAUACAAGCUGAUCAAUAACCCCCCAUCUGACAAACAACACAAAAUACUUUCAGAUGUAAUUAUAACCUCCUGCUACCUUCACUGAUCCAAAGGAAAACUAGACCCCCCCCCCCCCCCCCCCCCAUCCCCAAACUGCACGCACAAAAUACACACACGUGUGUGUUUGUGCACGUGAGGAUGAGACUGAAAUGGCAACAAUACAAGUAGCUGCAGUGAGGUGUUGUACUGUUUUGCUGAGGUUACAGUGUGGUGACAGACAUGGCUUUGAAAAGUCUGUAUCGGUUUACACAAGUAGUGCAGAUAUUUCAAGCGCUCGUUUCUCACAACACCUCCUCCCUGAUGUCUCGCCUUUAUGGGGAUCUAAAUUUAUCUUGAUCUGUUUUUUUUUCCCUUAAACCUUUUAUUUUUUGUUGUCUUCCUUCUCAUGAAUGUAAUCAAAACACACCCAACAAUUAAAAUGAUCAAUCCCAGUGCCGUCCUGAUUUUCCCUCGGACAUACAGUACACAAACUACUGAAAGAAGUACACAAUCAACACAGUUACUUACAUCAGGCAAAGGGUGAGAGAGGAGAGAAGGGCUGAAUGAUUGGCAGCUGAUUUCAGAGACGACAUAGACAAUACAAACUAAUGUCUAUGAAAGACAGUGUUUCCCCACCUAGUGCAAUGAGGCACGUAUAGUACAUACACAUUCACUCACUCACACACACACACACACACACACACACACACACACACACACACACACACACACACACACACACACACAGAAAAUAGCUCCUUGUAAAGACACAACACAAAGUUGGCUCCAAGACAGUCUGUGGAUGCCGGGAUUCGAGGAGCGAGGGAGGCAAGACAGGAAAAGGACACGGGAGAGGAGGAAAAGGAGGAGGUGAGCACAAAAACGUGUCACACACAAGGUCACAGUGACACGCAGGCAUACACACACGCACAGACACACACGAUACAAAACAAACACGCCCACAAACACAGAAACACACACUAAUAAAAGCAACACGGACGUGUGUGUCCUCCUAAAGUCUUGUCGGUGACAUGAUAUGGACUAAUAAUUUUGUCAAUUGAAGCUUGAGGAACAAAAACAACAAAAAACACAUUGUCCUGGAAUGAUUGAAAAAUAAAUUAGAGUGGUGAUAUCCUUCGGUGUGGGAUACAUCCUCCAGCUAGUGCACUCCAAACAGAUGCUGGUCCAAUCCUAAAGCCAGGAUUCGUUGAACCCGUUUUGUCCUACAUUAGGAAAAGCCUGGCGAUUUGGCCUGAAAGCCAGUGUCGAUCAAAUAGUUCGUGUCUCGCAUCAUCUCAUCCUCAGUGGACCGUAAAAAAAAUGGCAUGAAUAAACUCAUUUCCGCAUGGUUGCAUGUAUACUGUUUCACACAAAUGACAGAGCAAAAUAAUUUAAAAAAUACUAACGAGCACCAUGAGGACUGUGACAAAAAGCAUGAGGAAGAGGGACACAUUUCAAGGCUAUGUAACAUGCUUAGACCAAUGAGUCUGUCCUCAUUUUUCGCUCUUCUGACAUCAAUAAAGACCACUGGAUGCCUCGUCAUCUUUCCUCUGGGGAAAAUAAGCGAGUUAACUCUGAAACCAGAGGGUAGGAACCCUGGAGAAGGCGUCCAAAAUGGCCGAGAGUAUCCACGGUGGAUAUUUCGCCCUGCUAGUACUACAUGAGAUGUAUUCCUAUACAGUACGGCAUAUACUGUACACUAAAAGAAAAAUAUUGACAUAAGGAUUUUCUUCUUUUGUAGUCUGUACAAGGGCAUGAACCUUUGGUCCUGUUUGAAAUGACCAUUCUACGAUGGCUUACUUUUGACUUUUUUUAGUUUUCAAGAGAGAAAAAGUUUGUCACGUCACACUCCUUCUAGAUGAAAUACUACACUAAUCUGAAGCACACAUGGACUACUCACAUACUACAAACUCUGUAUUUGUGUAUUUGUCUGUGUGUGUGUGUGGGUGGGUGUUUCCUCGCUAGAUCCCAAAAUGUACACCUGAUUUCAGUCCACUGUACCGUUAAGUGUCCACAUGUGUUUGUAAAUGUGUAGUCUGAUGCUCAAAAGUGUAGCUUGUGAUGGAUGGAGCUGAUUUUUCCCCCCUCCAGCUCAGUAAAGACAGCACAGGAGUUGAAGGAUUCAUUAGCAGGAGCAGAACAGCACUAGCAGUUGGACACUAGCAGUGUCUCCACGUCUCUCUUUCUUUGAUGGAGAGAAUUAUUCACAGAUGAGAAGAAAGAAAGCAAAGUCUGGAGCUGUAGAGAUGAUGAUGACCUGAGGAAAGAAGGAAUAAGGGGGGAGAAGCAGAUUAAGGAAGAGCGUGAGUUAGGGGGAG